GAUAAGUGCCCAAUUUUAGUUAAAAAGUAUCAUGAAUUAUGGGCACUUACCAAUACAUUUAUGAAGAAAUCUUGAUUAAAACCCCUUUUGAUGUAAAUAUAACAUUAAAUCAAAGAAAAAUUGAUCCCAAGGCAUUUUGUUAGGAAUGGCUAGAAAAGGCAGGAUUUUGAAGCCUUCGCUCAGCGAAGCUAUAGCGAGCUGCAGCGAACAAAACCAGUGGGUUAAGGGUCCAU
rnacentral:lncRNA from 1 species